ACAUACGACUAUAGACUUAAGAGAACUAGGCAUCCUAUCCGCUCUGCUAUACAUAACCUUAAGAUUGGUAGAUUAGUAGUUAGGUGGGUGACUACUAGCAAAUACCUACUAUCAUAUGUU
rfam:Pseudogymnoascus pannorum VKM F-4517 (FW-2822) contig_1652, whole genome shotgun sequence.